rnacentral:rRNA from 1 species
AAACUUUACAAUGCGGGAAACCGUGAUAAGGGAACCCCGAGUGCCUGUAAUGACAGGCUGUUCAGGUGUUUACAACACAUCUGGAGAAAGGGCCGGGCAAGACCGGUGCCAGCCGCCGCGGUAAUACCGGCGGCUCGAGUGGUGGCCACUAUUACUGGGCUUAAAGCGUCCGUAGCCGGGAUGUUAAGUCUCUUGGGAAAUCUGACGGCUCAACCGUCAGGCGUUCAAGGGAUACUGGCAUUCUAGGGACCGGGGGAGGUGAGAGGUACUUCAGGGGUAGGAGUGAAAUCCUGUAAUCCUUGGGGGACCACCUGUGGCGAAGGCGUCUCACCAGAACGGCUCCGACGGUGAGGGACGAAAGCUGGGGGAGCAAACCGG